AAGUGCUUCGAUUUUGGGGAGC
rnacentral:miRNA from 1 species